GGUUGAAACACUGGUUCUCAUACUAUCACCGAAGUUAAACAACAUUGAGCCUGGUCAGUACCUAAAUGGGUGACCGCUUGAAAUUUCCAGGUGUUGUAAG